rnacentral:rRNA from 1 species
GACGAAGGAUGCAAGCGUUAUCCGGAUUCAUUGGGUUUAAAGGGUGCGUAGGCGGACUGAUAAGUCAGUGGUGAAAUCUCUCAGCUUAACUGAGAAACUGCCAUUGAUACUGUUAGUCUUGAGUACAGAUGAUGUUGGCGGAAUAUGACAUGUAGCGGUGAAAUGCAUAGAUAUGUCAUAGAACACCGAUUGCGAAGGCAGCUGACAAAACUGUAACUGACGCUGAGGCACGAAAGUGCGGGGAUCAAACAGG